rnacentral:rRNA from 1 species
GAUGAACGCUGGCGGCGUGCUUAACACAUGCAAGUCGAACGAUUAAAGCCCCUUCGGGGGUGUAUAGAGGGGCGAACGGGUGAGUAACACGUGGGCAAUCUGCCCCUCACACUGGGAUAACUCAGGGAAACUUGAGCUAAUACCGUGUACUCCUAGUUGAUCGCAUGGUCGACUCGUGAAAGCUCCGACGGUGAGGGAUGAGCCCGCGGCCCAUUAGCUUGUUGGUAGGGUAACGGCCUAGUAAGGCGACGAUGGGUCGCCGAGCUGAGAGGGUGAUCGGCCACACUGGGACUGAGACACGGCCCAGACUACUACGGGAGGAAGCAGUGGGGAAUUUUGCGCAAUGGGCGAAAGCCUGACGCAGGAACGCCGCGUGCGGGAUGAAGGCCUUCGGGUUGUAAACCGCUUUCAGCAGGGAUGAAACUGACCGUACCUGCAGAAGAAGCCCCGGCUAACUACGUGCCAGCCGCCGCCGUAACAC